rnacentral:rRNA from 1 species
AUUGAACGCUGGCGGCAGGCUUAACACAUGCAAGUCGAACGAGUGGCGGACGGGUGAGUAAUGUCUGGGAAACUGCCCGAUGGAGGGGGAUAACUACUGGAAACGGUAGCUAAUACCGCAUACCAUCGGAUGUGCCCAUAUGGGAUUAGCUCGUAGGUGGGGUAACGGCUCACCUAGGCGACGAUCCCUAGCUGGUCUGAGAGGAUGACCAGCCACGCUGGGACUGAGACACGGUCCAGACCCCUACGGGAGGCAGCAGUGGGGAAUAUUGCACAAUGGGGGCAAGCCUGAUACAGCCAUCCCGCGUGUAUGAAGAAGGCCUUCGGGUUGUAAAGUACUUUCGGCGAGUAAGCGUUACUCGCAGAAGAAGCACCGGCUAACUCCGUGCCAGCAGCCGCGGUAAUAC